ACCACUUCGGUGGGGAUUAGUGGCGAACGGGUGAGUAACACGUGGGCAAUCUGCCCUUCACUCUGGGACAAGCCCUGGAAACGGGGUCUAAUACCGGAUAACACUCCUGCUCUCAUGGGCAGGGGUUAAAAGCUCCGGCGGUGAAGGAUGAGCCCGCGGCCUAUCAGCUUGUUGGUGAGGUAAUGGCUCACCAAGGCGACGACGGGUAGCCGGCCUGAGAGGGCGACCGGCCACACUGGGACUGAGACACGGCCCAGACUCCUACGGGAGGCAGCAGUGGGGAAUAUUGCACAAUGGGCGAAAGCCUGAUGCAGCGACGCCGCGUGAGGGAUGACGGCCUUCGGGUUGUAAACCUCUUUCAGCAGGGAAGAAGCGAAAGUGACGGUACCUGCAGAAGAAGCGCCGGCUAACUACGUGCCAGCAGCCGCGGUAAUACGUAGGGCGCAAGCGUUGUCCGGAAUUAUUGGGCGUAAAGAGCUCGUAGGCGGCUUGUCACGUCGGGUGUGAAAGCCCGGGGCUUAACCCCGGGUCUGCAUUCGAUACGGGCUAGCUAGAGUGUGGUAG
rnacentral:rRNA from 1 species